UAAAGCUUUUGCGGUUUGGGAUGGGCCUGCGUCCUAUCAGGUAGUUGGUGAGGUAAGUGCUCACCAAGCCUAUGACGGGCAGCUGGUCUGAGAGGAUGGUCAGCCAGACUGGGACUGCGACACGGGCCAGACUCCUACGGGAGGCAGCAACUAGGAAUCGUGCGCAAUGGACGAAAGUCUGACGCCGCGACAUCGCGUGGAGGAUGAAGGUCUUCGGAUUGUAAACUCCUUUUCUUACCGAACAAGUUCUGAGUGUAGGUAAGGAAUAAGUGCCUGCUAACCACGUGCCAGAAGCAUCGGUAAUACGUGGGAGACGAGCGUAAUCCGGAUUUACUGGGCGUAAAGAGAAGCGUAGGCGGAUCGAUCAGUAUGGUGUAAAAUCUUCCGGCUCAACCGGAAACAAGUACCGAAGACUAUCGAGAUAGAGUCGAGUCGGGAAGAGGGGAAUCCCUGGUGGAGCGGUAAACUGCGUAGAUAUCAAGAGGAAUACCAAGGGCGAAGGCACCUCCUUGGACUCGUACUGACGCUGAGGCUCGGAAAGCGUGGGUAGCAAAUCGGAUUAGAUACCCGUGUAGUCCACGCCGUAAACGAUCCCUGUUAGAUGUAUGUUUUGU
rnacentral:rRNA from 1 species